rnacentral:lncRNA from 1 species
AUUUACUACUGAGGAGGUUGUUUUGCAUUUGUUCACUCAUGCCAGAGGGCAAAUUGGGGAAAGCAUGCGCAUCCUGGGGAACUUCCAUGCACCUCACUAAGGAAGCCAACCUUUCGCUUUGAGAAUUACUGCCGUUAAGCCCCAUAGUCGGCUCCAAACAGCAAUUCUGAUUUAAUCAGGGUUCCGCAGUCUGUAAGUCCAUAGGUAAAUAAAGCAGCCGCUAUAGUUUAUCAUUUAUUUAUGAACCUAUUUGCGGCCGGUGUUUUGCAUAUUAAUCAGCGGUUCUCCAUGUGGCAAUUCUGUAUUGAGAAGAAAAGGCGGGGGCCAGAAAUGGCCCGCUCCUUGCUAUGUGACUUCUCUUGCCCCUGGAUAAUAUGCAAAGAAUUAGAUUAGAAAUAGCCUUAUGAAUAAAUGAUGAAAUCCCGAGUUAUGUAUAUAUUUAAAUGGCGGUGUCACUCUUGAGAACACAUGGGAAACAGCUUCCCUACUGCCCCCCCGACCUGCCUCCACCACAUCUUUUCCACCACGAGGCCACAACGGAAAACAUCGUGUGUUAAAAUGUGUUUGUCUUGCUUUAGGUGGAAAAGAAGCACAGAGCAUCUGAGGUGAAGAAGACACCCUGAGGACUGACCCAAGGCUGCUGUUGUCACAGAAGACCAAGUCACAGGCCGGGAAGUGCCGUAUGCUAUUUUUAACCAUGUGCCCAACAUAAUGGGGUGCCAGGAGAAAGUCAAUGAGUGGAAGAUUACAGUGUUCUUGACCACAGAUGAUGAGGACAGAACCCACCACUGUGACACACACCAGCUUAGUAUACAAAAUAUGUAGUGUCUCUUAUGUUAAGAUGAGAAUAGUGACAUGUUUCUUUUUAAAACCCACCUAUGUAUGGAUAUUUCCCAGAAUGGGUAGCUGUGUUAGUCUUUUGCAACAAAAGCAGUGAAGAAUCUUGUGGCACCUGAGAGACUAACACAUUUACUUAGGCCAGGGGUGGGGGAGAAACUUGAUUCUGUUUGCAUUUUGAUGAGAAAAUACACAAUUUGCACUUCUGCAACCAGUUACUGAACUCAAAUCACUGAGGAAGCGCUGUAGCUAAGCAGCAGAGCACUGCUUUGCAUGCAGCAAGGCCAAGGUUCAAUCCUCAGCAUUUCCAGGAAGGGCUAGAAAAGCAUCUCUGCUUGAAACACUGGAGAGAAACUGCCAGUCAGUAUGGACAAUAUGGAGCUAUAUGGACCGAUAGUUCGAUUUUGUAUAAGGCAGCUUCUGUUAAAGAAAUGUUUCAUAUGCAUAACAUGUAAAGUUUAUAUACACUGAGGUUUGGAGGAAAAAAAACUUAUGUAAAGGUUUGCAUUUGCAAAGUAGAAAAGUUUGUAUUAGGCAUGAGAGGUUUCACACUGACAAAUGCGGCAGAAAAGGUUGAAUGUUUCCGUUUCAGUCUUUAAGCUCAUCGAUGACUCAUCCUGGACACCUGAGCUUCAGAUCUCUCACAACGGGAAGGUGAAACCUGAGACUUCAGCGUCUCUGUCAGCAAUGGAGCUUGCAACAGAAACAGUAGUGGUUUCACUCUGCAAUGAUGGAUGAGCAACUUGCGUAGGAUCUCCCUUUCUUUCUCUGGGACUGGAGAUGAGAACGUUCUUGUACUAAAUCAAGGACUAAAAAGAAGAUGGGACCGCAUUGCUUGUUUGAUUAAAAGCAAUGAGUUACUUUGUAUCUUGUAACAGUUUUCCAGGACUAUUUUAAGUUCAAUAAAGCUUUGAAACUUU